CUAGAAGCCACGACAAAUCGAUUAGCCAAGCUAACUUCCAGCCAUGGCACUGUCUCCGGCUACGACCUUCCACGACCACGAGAGCUCCAGCUCUGACUUUCCUGGCCCAUCACAAUCAUAACGACCUAACAGCCCAGUAGGACCGAUGGCCAGAGAUGGAGGAGGAGGAAGAUAGACGCAGCAGAGGUCGGGGGUAUUGAUUAGGGAGACUCCAACAGAAUUGACGCCCUGCUAACUGCCUUGAUUCAAUCAUUGAAUUUGAAGCAAUCCCAUCGGUUACUGCAGCGUGCCCUGACCCGUGACCCCAGUUUGAUGUUCGACCUGGCACAUGACAUCUGGUCCUCAGUCACAGCCCAGUAGCACAACCAACCUGGCGCCUCUGCGCAAUCUGUAAGGAGAUGCCCAUGAACAUUGAAAGGAAAUGCUGUGGUGUUCUCAG